rnacentral:rRNA from 1 species
AGAGUUUGAUCCUGGCUCAGGAUGAACGCUGGCGGCGUGCCUAACACAUGCAAGUCGAACGGACCCAUGGAAAUGAUUAGCUUGCUAUGAAAUCCGGAAGGUUAGUGGCGGACGGGUGAGUAACGCGUGGGCAACCUGCCCUGUACUGGGGGAUAGCAGCUGGAAACGGCUGGUAAUACCGCAUAAGCGCACAGUACCGCAUGGUACAGUGUGAAAAGCUCCGACGGUACAGGAUGGGCCCGCGUCCGAUUAGCCAGUUGGCGGGGUAACGGCCCACCAAAGCAACGAUCGGUAGCCGGCCUGAGAGGGCGGACGGCCACAUUGGGACUGAGACACGGCCCAGACUCCUACGGGAGGCAGCAGUGGGGGAUAUUGCACAAUGGGGGAAACCCUGAUGCCAGCGACGCCGCGUGGGUGAAGAAGUAUUUCGGUAUGUAAAGCCCUAUCAGCAGGGACGAUAAUGACGGUACCUGAGUAAGAAGCCCCGGCUAACUACGUGCCAGCAGCUGC